rnacentral:rRNA from 1 species
CCUACGGGUGGCUGCAGUAAGGAAUAUUGGUCAAUGGAGGAAACUCUGAACCAGCCAUCCCGCGUGAAGGAUGAAGGGGCUCUGCCUUGUAAACUUCUUUUGUCUGGGGCGAAACAGCUCGAUUUAUCGAGAACUGACGGUACCAGAAGAAUAAGCACCGGCUAACUCCGUGCCAGCAGCCGCGGUAAUACGGAGGGUGCAGGAGUUAUCCGGAAUCACGGGGUUUAAGGGGUGCGUAGACGGCUUAGGUGAAAGGCUGUGGCUUAACCAUGGAAGUGCCAUUGAUACUGCAGAGCUUGAAUGAGGUUGAGGGUGGCGGAAUGUGACAUGUAGCGGUGAAAUGCUUAGAUAGGGCAUGGAACACCGAUUGCGAAGGCAGCUGACUGGACCUAUAUUGACGCUGAGGCACGAAAGCGUGGGGAGCGAACAGGAUUAGAUACCCCAGUAGUC